CUACAGGCUUAACACAUGCAAGUCGAGGGGCAGCAUGGUCUUAGCUUGCUAAGGCCGAUGGCGACCGGCGCACGGGUGAGUAACACGUAUCCAACCUGCCGUCUACUCUUGGACAGCCUUCUGAAAGGAAGAUUAAUACAAGAUGGCAUCAUGAGUCCGCAUGUUCACAUGAUUAAAGGUAUUCCGGUAGACGAUGGGGAUGCGUUCCAUUAGAUAGUAGGCGGGGUAACGGCCCACCUAGUCUUCGAUGGAUAGGGGUUCUGAGAGGAAGGUCCCCCACAUUGGAACUGAGACACGGUCCAAACUCCUACGGGAGGCAGCAGUGAGGAAUAUUGGUCAAUGGGCGAGAGCCUGAACCAGCCAAGUAGCGUGAAGGAUGACUGCCCUAUGGGUUGUAAACUUCUUUUAUAAAGGAAUAAAGUCGGGUAUGCAUACCCGUUUGCAUGUACUUUAUGAAUAAGGAUCGGCUAACUCCGUGCCAGCAGCCGCGGUAAUACGGAGGAUCCGAGCGUUAUCCGGAUUUAUUGGGUUUAAAGGGAGCGUAGAUGGAUGUUUAAGUCAGUUGUGAAAGUUUGCGGCUCAACCGUAAAAUUGCAGUUGAUACUGGAUAUCUUGAGUGCAGUUGAGGCAGGCGGAAUUCGUGGUGUAGCGGUGAAAUGCUUAGAUAUCACGAAGAACUCCGAUUGCGAAGGCAGCCUGCUAAGCUGCAACUGACAUUGAGGCUCGAAAGUGUGGGUAUCAAACAGGAUUAGAUACCCUGGUAGUCCACACGGUAAACGAUGAAUACUCGCUGUUUGCGAUAUACAGCAAGCGGCCAAGCGAAAGCGUUAAGUAUUCCACCUGGGGAGUACGCCGGCAACGGUGAAACUCAAAGGAAUUGACGGGGGCCCGCACAAGCGGAGGAACAUGUGGUUUAAUUCGAUGAUACGCGAGGAACCUUACCCGGGCUUAAAUUGCAGAUGAAUUACGGUGAAAGCCGUAAGCCGCAAGGCAUCUGUGGAGGUGCUGCAUGGUUGUCGUCAGCUCGUGCCGUGAGGUGUCGGCUUAAGUGCCAUAACGAGCGCAACCCUUGUUGUCAGUUACUAACAGGUUCCGCUGAGGACUCUGACAAGACUGCCAUCGUAAGAUGUGAGGAAGGUGGGGAUGACGUCAAAUCAGCACGGCCCUUACGUCCGGGGCUACACACGUGUUACAAUGGGGGGUACAGAGGGCCGCUACCACGCGAGUGGAUGCCAAUCCCCAAAACCUCUCUCAGUUCGGACUGGAGUCUGCAACCCGACUCCACGAAGCUGGAUUCGCUAGUAAUCGCGCAUCAGCCACGGCGCGGUGAAUACGUUCCCGGGCCUUGUACACACCGCCCGUCAAGCCAUGGGAGCCGGGGGUACCUGAAGUGCGUAACCGCGAGGAGCGCCCUAGGGUAAAACUGGUGACUGGGGCUAAG
rnacentral:rRNA from 1 species